CCUACGGGGGGCAGCAGUCGAGAAUCAUUCACAAUGGGGGAAACCCUGAUGGUGCGACGCCGCGUGGGGGAAUGAAGGUCUUCGGAUUGUAAACCCCUGUCAUGUGGGAGCAAAUUAAAAAGAUAGUACCACAAGAGGAAGAGACGGCUAACUCUGUGCCAGCAGCCGCGGUAAUACAGAGGUCUCAAGCGUUGUUCGGAAUCACUGGGCGUAAGGCGUGCGUAGGCUGUUUCGUAAGUCGUGUGUGAAAGGCGCGGGCUCAACCCGCGGACGGCACAUGAUACUGCGAGACUAGAGUAAUGGAGGGGGAACCGGAAUCCUCGGUGUAGCAGUGAAAUGCGUAGAUAUCGAGAGGAACACUCGUGGCGAAGGCGGGUUCCUGGACAUUAACUGACGCUGAGGCACGAAGGCCAGGGGAGCGAAAGGGAUUAGAUACCCUAGUAGUC
rnacentral:rRNA from 1 species